rnacentral:rRNA from 1 species
AAAUUGAAGAGUUUGAUCAUGGCUCAGAUUGAACGCUGGCGGCAGGCCUAACACAUGCAAGUCGAACGGUAACAGGAAGCAGCUUGCUGCUUCGCUGACGAGUGGCGGACGGGUGAGUAAUGUCUGGGAAACUGCCUGAUGGAGGGGGAUAACUACUGGAAACGGUAGCUAAUACCGCAUAACGUCGCAAGACCAAAGAGGGGGACCUUCGGGCCUCUUGCCAUCGGAUGUGCCCAGAUGGGAUUAGCUUGUUGGUGGGGUAACGGCUCACCAAGGCGACGAUCCCUAGCUGGUCUGAGAGGAUGACCAGCCACACUGGAACUGAGACACGGUCCAGACUCCUACGGGAGGCAGCAGUGGGGAAUAUUGCACAAUGGGCGCAAGCCUGAUGCAGCCAUGCCGCGUGUAUGAAGAAGGCCUUCGGGUUGUAAAGUACUUUCAGCGGGGAGGAAGGGAGUAAAGUUAAUACCUUUGCUCAUUGACGUUACCCGCAGAAGAAGCACCGGCUAACUCCGUGCCAGCAGCCGCGGUAAUACGGAGGGUGCAAGCGUUAAUCGGAAUUACUGGGCGUAAAGCGCACGCAGGCGGUUUGUUAAGUCAGAUGUGAAAUCCCCGGGCUCAACCUGGGAACUGCAUCUGAUACUGGCAAGCUUGAGUCUCGUAGAGGGGGGUAGAAUUCCAGGUGUAGCGGUGAAAUGCGUAGAGAUCUGGAGGAAUACCGGUGGCGAAGGCGGCCCCCUGGACGAAGACUGACGCUCAGGUGCGAAAGCGUGGGGAGCAAACAGGAUUAGAUACCCUGGUAGUCCACGCCGUAAACGAUGUCGACUUGGAGGUUGUGCCCUUGAGGCGUGGCUUCCGGAGCUAACGCGUUAAGUCGACCGCCUGGGGAGUACGGCCGCAAGGUUAAAACUCAAAUGAAUUGACGGGGCCCGCACAAGCGGUGGAGCAUGUGGUUUAAUUCGAUGCAACGCGAAGAACCUUACCUGGUCUUGACAUCCACGGAAGUUUUCAGAGAUGAGAAUGUGCCUUCGGGAACCGUGAGACAGGUGCUGCAUGGCUGUCGUCAGCUCGUGUUGUGAAAUGUUGGGUUAAGUCCCGCAACGAGCGCAACCCUUAUCCUUUGUUGCCAGCGGUCCGGCCGGGAACUCAAAGGAGACUGCCAGUGAUAAACUGGAGGAAGGUGGGGAUGACGUCAAGUCAUCAUGGCCCUUACGACCAGGGCUACACACGUGCUACAAUGGCGCAUACAAAGAGAAGCGACCUCGCGAGAGCAAGCGGACCUCAUAAAGUGCGUCGUAGUCCGGAUUGGAGUCUGCAACUCGACUCCAUGAAGUCGGAAUCGCUAGUAAUCGUGGAUCAGAAUGCCACGGUGAAUACGUUCCCGGGCCUUGUACACACCGCCCGUCACACCAUGGGAGUGGGUUGCAAAAGAAGUAGGUAGCUUAACCUUCGGGAGGGCGCUUACCACUUUGUGAUUCAUGACUGGGGUGAAGUCGUAACAAGGUAACCGUAGGGGAACCUGCGGUUGGAUCACCUCCUUA